UGAGGACCCAAUUAAAUGAGAUUGUGGAGUCCCCGCAUCAGCUCCCAACCUUCUUACAUAGAACCCCCAAAUCUCACCGGACUGUGGAAGCAAGGGCUUCAACAACGCUCAUUAGUCUCUCCAUCCCUUUCGCGCGCUUCAGCCUCGCCUCUCCAUCUCUUUCGCGCUUCAGCCUCAUCUCUUCACUCUCGAUCAAGCUUCAUCCUCCUUGAACUGCUCAUCCAGAUAUGGAUCGAAGGCAAAUUAUGUUGCUCUUAUUGGUGGAGUUGUGGCACCUAGAGACAAUGUGUGCUUGUACUAUGCUUGUGCUACUGAUGUUUAAUUUGAGACGAAGACGUGCUGAAAGACAUGCUCUAAAUAAUCGUUCAUUCGUUAGACGUGAGACUCGUUUGAGUUAUCUAGAUAGUAUUAUAGGUAAUAGUGACACUGAAUGUGUACACGAAUUAAGAAUGGAUAGAAGGGCUUUUGGCCUUUUGUGUGAACUGCUUCGCACAGAUGGAAAGAUAAAGAGUGAUGGUUUGGUGUCUGUGGAAGAGCAAGUAUGUAUGUUUUUACAUAUACUUUCACAUCAUGUGAAGAAUCGUACUAUUAGAGGUAGAUUUUUUCGAUCUGGAGAGACUAUUAGUAGGUAUUUCCAUUCUAUACUACAAGGUGUUUUACGAUUGCAAGGUAGUUUGUUGAGGGUACCUGAUCCGGUACUUGCUGACUGCACAGAUCGUAGAUGGAAGUGCUUUAAGAAUUGCUUGGGGGCACUAGAUGGAACUUACAUUAGAGUGCGUGUACCUGCAAUUGACAAGCCAAGAUACCGUACAAGAAAGGGUGAAGUUGCUACAAAUGUGUUAGCUGCUUGUUCUCGUGAUAUGCAGUUCAUAUUUGUCUUACCGGGUUGGGAGGGAUCGGCAUCGGACUCUAGAGUUCUUCACGAUGCAGUGACUAGGCCGAAUGGAUUAAGAGUUCCCACUGGUUAUUAUUACCUUGUAGAUGGGGGUUACACAAAUGGUGAAGGAUUUCUUGCACCAUAUAGAGGAACAAGGUAUCAUUUAUCAGAAUGGGAUGAAAGAAAUAUGCCUAGGGAUCAUGUGGAAUAUUUUAACAUGAAGCAUUCGAAGGCAAGAAAUGUCAUAGAACGGUGUUUUGGAAUGCUAAAAGGAAGGUGGGGAAUACUAAGGAGUCCAUCAUUUUAUCCAAUAAAGACACAAUGCCGCAUAAUUACGGUUUGUUGUCUUUUACAUAAUUUUAUUAGAAGAGAAAUGUCCAUUGAUCCGAUGGAGUAUGCAGUAUGUGAAUUAGAUGCUCAAAAUGGGGAAGAAGUUGAUGUAGUUGGCACGGUUGAAGCGUCUAAUCAAUGGACUACUUGGAGGAAUGAAUUAGCUUCACAAAUGCAUAAUGAAUGGACGGGAAGAAGGGUUGUAAGGGCUGCCGGAGAUACAGGGGUUUCAGGUGCUGCUGCAAGGGCUGCAAGGGAUGCAAGAGCUGCAAGGGAUGCAAGGGAUGCAAGGGCUGCAAGGGAUGCAAGAGCUUCAAGAGAAUAAAUCAUUGACGGAAUGCUUUAAAUACAUCUAAUAAGUACUAAGGAUCAUUAUUUAUAUAGUUUUUGAUUUGUUGUGAACACUAAUGCAUUUUAAUUCUUAGGAGUGUUUUUCUACUAAGUACUAAGGAUCAAUUCCAGUUGCUUCAACCAUCUGUUGAGUGUUUUUCUACUUGAGAAUAAACAUGGGUUUGUUUAUUGAGUUUCUUUUGUAAAUCUACUCUCGUGAUAUGUAGCUUGGUGAUGUUAUUGUUAUCUUCUGUAAAGAGAGAAACAAUCUGCGUGUUCAAUUGUUUGGGAAUCUACUAUGCUGCAUAAUGGGGAGUGAUUGCAUUUCUAUAUUGUGGAUUGUUCGAAUGGAUGCAGUGCAACCACUCUUUUUGCACUUUCUCCUUUUUGCUGUCUCCUUCUUUUCCCUCUUUUCCGUUUUACUUCCCUCUUUUUCCUCUUUUGUUUUUCUCCUUUCUCCUUUUUGCUGUCUCCUUCUUUUCCCUCUUUUCCGUUUUGCUUCCCUCUUUUUCCUCUUUUGCUUUUCUCCUUUCUCCUUUUGCUGUCUCCCUUUUACCUUUUGUUGUCUUCCUUUUCCCUUUCCUCUAUAUGUUUUUUCUACGCAUAUUAAUUGCUUUACAAUAACAGAUGCUACUGUGAAAACUUGCUCCAAAAAACUUCUUCUGGUUGUUUUCAUUGAUUUUGGAUGUUACUGUGAAAUCUUAGAUAUGGAUCGAAGGCAAAUUAUGUUGCUCUUAUUGGUGGAGCAAGACGGGGAGCCUAGAGACAAUGUGUGCUUGUACUAUGCUUUACAAUAAUAGAUGCUACUCUAAGCUUUGAGUCUAUAUGCGUAUGAGUGUAUUAUUUGAGUCUAUAUGCGUAUGAGAUAUAGCUUUUCUGUAGAAAAUGGAAAGUGGUGAUGAAAAUACAGAGCAAGGGAAGUCAAGACGUGUAUGGACCAGCUUUGAAGAAGAGUCUUUGUUGAAUGUUCUUGACGGAAUUAUUGCUGGAGGACAACGCUGCGACACUGGUAGUUUCAAAUCUGGUACUUUAAUCAAAAUAGAGAAUGCUUUAAAUCUUUUAUGUCCCAAUUCCAAUCUGAAGGCAAGUCCACAUAUUGAGUCAAAGUUGAAGAAACUUAAGAAAGAUUAUAGCAUAAUCUAUGACAUGAUGAACAAGAGUGGAUUUGCAUGGAAUGAUAUCAAAAAGUGCAUUGAAGUUGAUAGUAAUGAAGUAUGGGAAACGUAUUUGCAGCACAACAAAAAGGCAAAGGGAUGGAGAAACAAGAAGUAUCCAUUAUUUGAUAGACUAGCUACCAUCUUUGGGAGUGACCGUGCUACUGGAAAUGGGGCUGAGGUCCCUGCUGAUAUGAUGGAGGAGCAGAGCAACAAUGAAGAUGAUAUAGGCAUUGGGAAUGACACAAGCCCCAUGUCAAUGAGGCAAGAUAGCACUGGACAAUCUCAGGUCAGUCAGAAAAAGAGGAAAAGAAAUGAUGAAGAUAAAAUUAUGCUUGCAUUGGAUAAAUUGUUUGAAGAAUCUGGAAAAAGAAUGCAAGCAGUGACUGAUGCCAUAGUGAAAGGUAAUGAAGAUCGAUCUGAUAUUGCUAAGGAACUUAAGAAAAUGGGACUUUCUGUUCUAGACCAAAUUGAGGCAUUGAAAAUCAUUUUGGAUAAGCCCCAAAACAUAUCUGUGUUCAUGUCCUUAGAUGAUGAAGUGAGGAAAGUGUAUGUCGAGAACUUGCUUGCGGGCACUGCUAGAGGAUCUACCUAGCUGCUGUUGCAAGAUAUGUUCUUUUUUUUGUUUGGACAACUACAACAGUUGCUGCCUUAACACAUGUUGGACAAGUUCCUUCUUUUGCUAGAUUAACAUUCAUUUUUGUAAUUGCUAGAUGGAACAUUAUUAGCAUGUGGAAUGUUAAAUCAGUGUAUCACUGUGUUGUAUUAAUAGGUGGACUUGUUGAUGUGUAAAAACUAACUACAAAGUAUGUAGAUUGUGGUUGCUCUUCUCAAUCUAUGAUUAUUUUGCUGUAUGUGAACUUUGCUGCAAAUUACCAACUUUUAGUCCAAUACACUAACAAACAUGGGAUAUGACUAUUUUCACUAUUCUGCUCUUUAGUCCUAAGCAGUACCAAACAUGGGUCAUGUAUUAACAUAGCAUAUCCCAGGCUAGAAGAGUCCUGGACUAUUAUAUGAAAUAAGCUUGGGGAUAAUAGUCCCAUGUAACAAACAUAGCCUUGGCUAUGUUUGUUACGUGGGAUUGGACUGGAUUGGAGUAGCUUAUUUUAUUAAGUAAGACUUAUCCCAUGUUUGGCACACAUGAGGACCCAAUUAAAUGAGAUUGUGGAGUCCCCGCAUCAGCUCCCAACCUUCUUACAUAGAACCCCCAAAUCUCACCGGACUGUGGAAGCAAGGGCUUCAACAACGCUCAUUAGUCUCUCCAUCCCUUUCGCGCGCUUCAGCCUCGCCUCUCCAUCUCUUUCGCGCUUCAGCCUCAUCUCUUCACUCUCGAUCAAGCUUCAUCCUCCUUGAACUGCUCAUCCAGAUAUGGAUCGAAGGCAAAUUAUGUUGCUCUUAUUGGUGGAGUUGUGGCACCUAGAGACAAUGUGUGCUUGUACUAUGCUUGUGCUACUGAUGUUUAAUUUGAGACGAAGACGUGCUGAAAGACAUGCUCUAAAUAAUCGUUCAUUCGUUAGACGUGAGACUCGUUUGAGUUAUCUAGAUAGUAUUAUAGGUAAUAGUGACACUGAAUGUGUACACGAAUUAAGAAUGGAUAGAAGGGCUUUUGGCCUUUUGUGUGAACUGCUUCGCACAGAUGGAAAGAUAAAGAGUGAUGGUUUGGUGUCUGUGGAAGAGCAAGUAUGUAUGUUUUUACAUAUACUUUCACAUCAUGUGAAGAAUCGUACUAUUAGAGGUAGAUUUUUUCGAUCUGGAGAGACUAUUAGUAGGUAUUUCCAUUCUAUACUACAAGGUGUUUUACGAUUGCAAGGUAGUUUGUUGAGGGUACCUGAUCCGGUACUUGCUGACUGCACAGAUCGUAGAUGGAAGUGCUUUAAGAAUUGCUUGGGGGCACUAGAUGGAACUUACAUUAGAGUGCGUGUACCUGCAAUUGACAAGCCAAGAUACCGUACAAGAAAGGGUGAAGUUGCUACAAAUGUGUUAGCUGCUUGUUCUCGUGAUAUGCAGUUCAUAUUUGUCUUACCGGGUUGGGAGGGAUCGGCAUCGGACUCUAGAGUUCUUCACGAUGCAGUGACUAGGCCGAAUGGAUUAAGAGUUCCCACUGGUUAUUAUUACCUUGUAGAUGGGGGUUACACAAAUGGUGAAGGAUUUCUUGCACCAUAUAGAGGAACAAGGUAUCAUUUAUCAGAAUGGGAUGAAAGAAAUAUGCCUAGGGAUCAUGUGGAAUAUUUUAACAUGAAGCAUUCGAAGGCAAGAAAUGUCAUAGAACGGUGUUUUGGAAUGCUAAAAGGAAGGUGGGGAAUACUAAGGAGUCCAUCAUUUUAUCCAAUAAAGACACAAUGCCGCAUAAUUACGGUUUGUUGUCUUUUACAUAAUUUUAUUAGAAGAGAAAUGUCCAUUGAUCCGAUGGAGUAUGCAGUAUGUGAAUUAGAUGCUCAAAAUGGGGAAGAAGUUGAUGUAGUUGGCACGGUUGAAGCGUCUAAUCAAUGGACUACUUGGAGGAAUGAAUUAGCUUCACAAAUGCAUAAUGAAUGGACGGGAAGAAGGGUUGUAAGGGCUGCCGGAGAUACAGGGGUUUCAGGUGCUGCUGCAAGGGCUGCAAGGGAUGCAAGAGCUGCAAGGGAUGCAAGGGAUGCAAGGGCUGCAAGGGAUGCAAGAGCUUCAAGAGAAUAAAUCAUUGACGGAAUGCUUUAAAUACAUCUAAUAAGUACUAAGGAUCAUUAUUUAUAUAGUUUUUGAUUUGUUGUGAACACUAAUGCAUUUUAAUUCUUAGGAGUGUUUUUCUACUAAGUACUAAGGAUCAAUUCCAGUUGCUUCAACCAUCUGUUGAGUGUUUUUCUACUUGAGAAUAAACAUGGGUUUGUUUAUUGAGUUUCUUUUGUAAAUCUACUCUCGUGAUAUGUAGCUUGGUGAUGUUAUUGUUAUCUUCUGUAAAGAGAGAAACAAUCUGCGUGUUCAAUUGUUUGGGAAUCUACUAUGCUGCAUAAUGGGGAGUGAUUGCAUUUCUAUAUUGUGGAUUGUUCGAAUGGAUGCAGUGCAACCACUCUUUUUGCACUUUCUCCUUUUUGCUGUCUCCUUCUUUUCCCUCUUUUCCGUUUUACUUCCCUCUUUUUCCUCUUUUGUUUUUCUCCUUUCUCCUUUUUGCUGUCUCCUUCUUUUCCCUCUUUUCCGUUUUGCUUCCCUCUUUUUCCUCUUUUGCUUUUCUCCUUUCUCCUUUUGCUGUCUCCCUUUUACCUUUUGUUGUCUUCCUUUUCCCUUUCCUCUAUAUGUUUUUUCUACGCAUAUUAAUUGCUUUACAAUAACAGAUGCUACUGUGAAAACUUGCUCCAAAAAACUUCUUCUGGUUGUUUUCAUUGAUUUUGGAUGUUACUGUGAAAUCUUAGAUAUGGAUCGAAGGCAAAUUAUGUUGCUCUUAUUGGUGGAGCAAGACGGGGAGCCUAGAGACAAUGUGUGCUUGUACUAUGCUUUACAAUAAUAGAUGCUACUCUAAGCUUUGAGUCUAUAUGCGUAUGAGUGUAUUAUUUGAGUCUAUAUGCGUAUGAGAUAUAGCUUUUCUGUAGAAAAUGGAAAGUGGUGAUGAAAAUACAGAGCAAGGGAAGUCAAGACGUGUAUGGACCAGCUUUGAAGAAGAGUCUUUGUUGAAUGUUCUUGACGGAAUUAUUGCUGGAGGACAACGCUGCGACACUGGUAGUUUCAAAUCUGGUACUUUAAUCAAAAUAGAGAAUGCUUUAAAUCUUUUAUGUCCCAAUUCCAAUCUGAAGGCAAGUCCACAUAUUGAGUCAAAGUUGAAGAAACUUAAGAAAGAUUAUAGCAUAAUCUAUGACAUGAUGAACAAGAGUGGAUUUGCAUGGAAUGAUAUCAAAAAGUGCAUUGAAGUUGAUAGUAAUGAAGUAUGGGAAACGUAUUUGCAGCACAACAAAAAGGCAAAGGGAUGGAGAAACAAGAAGUAUCCAUUAUUUGAUAGACUAGCUACCAUCUUUGGGAGUGACCGUGCUACUGGAAAUGGGGCUGAGGUCCCUGCUGAUAUGAUGGAGGAGCAGAGCAACAAUGAAGAUGAUAUAGGCAUUGGGAAUGACACAAGCCCCAUGUCAAUGAGGCAAGAUAGCACUGGACAAUCUCAGGUCAGUCAGAAAAAGAGGAAAAGAAAUGAUGAAGAUAAAAUUAUGCUUGCAUUGGAUAAAUUGUUUGAAGAAUCUGGAAAAAGAAUGCAAGCAGUGACUGAUGCCAUAGUGAAAGGUAAUGAAGAUCGAUCUGAUAUUGCUAAGGAACUUAAGAAAAUGGGACUUUCUGUUCUAGACCAAAUUGAGGCAUUGAAAAUCAUUUUGGAUAAGCCCCAAAACAUAUCUGUGUUCAUGUCCUUAGAUGAUGAAGUGAGGAAAGUGUAUGUCGAGAACUUGCUUGCGGGCACUGCUAGAGGAUCUACCUAGCUGCUGUUGCAAGAUAUGUUCUUUUUUUUGUUUGGACAACUACAACAGUUGCUGCCUUAACACAUGUUGGACAAGUUCCUUCUUUUGCUAGAUUAACAUUCAUUUUUGUAAUUGCUAGAUGGAACAUUAUUAGCAUGUGGAAUGUUAAAUCAGUGUAUCACUGUGUUGUAUUAAUAGGUGGACUUGUUGAUGUGUAAAAACUAACUACAAAGUAUGUAGAUUGUGGUUGCUCUUCUCAAUCUAUGAUUAUUUUGCUGUA